rnacentral:misc_RNA from 1 species
CCCAAUCAGAAGUCGAAGCAAAGACUGAAGAAGAAGGAGAACAAGAGGAAUAUUUUCGAACCAGAGUGCUCGCUCAGAAUGUUCCUUGGACUUCUACCACCGAAGACAUCCGUACUUUGUUUGAGAAAUUUGGGACUGUUUUAGACGUUGAGCUUUCCAUGCAUAACAAGACCAGAAACAGGGGUUUGGCAUUUGUCACUAUGGGCUCCCCUGAUGAGGCACUUGCAGCUAUUAAAAAUCUCGAAUCUUAUGAAUUUGAGGGUCGGACUUUGAAGAUGAAUUACGCCAAGCUAAAAAAGAAAAAACCUUCACCACCACCACCUCCAAAGCCAGCAGCAACAUUCAACUUGUUUGUAGCAAAUUUGCCAUUCGAAGCUAAGGCAAAAGAUCUUAAGGAGUUCUUUAAUGCUGAAGGCACUGAUGUUGUUUCUGCUGAAAUUGUAUACCAUGAUAAUCCAAGAAGGCCUUCUGGCUAUGGAUUUGUCGCCUUCAAAACUAAAAAAGAAGCGGAUGCUGCCCUUUCUGCAUUUCCAGGGAAGAUGUUUAUGGGAAGGUCAAUUAGAGUUAGUCGUAGCAGACAAUUCGUGAGACAACAAAGAAAUGAAGGUCUGCAAUCUGAUGAUACUUCAACUGAGUUGAACUCUGGAGUCGAGCAAGUAGACCCAACUCAUGAAAAUUGAAAUGGAAAUUUUGU